AUGGCGACGCCGCAACCCGCCGGGCUGGCGCUGCGGGCAGGAGCGGUGUUCAGGCCCAGCGGCCGCCAGCUCAUCACGCUGUACCUCGGCCGCAACGCGCUCCGCGGCGAGCUCCCCGACGCCGCCGUCAUCCCCGGCGGCUGCGUCGUCACGGCGGGCGUGGACGUCUUCGCCGCGAGCCCCGGCGCGCUCCCCUUCCAGGCGAGCCACAGGGGGGCGCACGGGGAGGUGUGGGGCUACUUCGCCGCCGCGUCCCCGACCGCCGACAGCGCCCAGCCGGCGCCGGGCGGGUGCUGGGUGCGGCACGGCACCGAGAAGCUGUACGAGCUCAAGGGGGAGGCGCUCGGCUACCGGAGCAGGUACGCGUUCUACGUCACGCGGGCGGAGCGGGCUCGGGUGGUGUGGACGCCGACGCGGUGGCUGAUGAAGGAGUACCGCCUCCACAAGGGCGCCGCCGUCUUCCGCAGCAAGCUGCCCGACCACCCCAACGCCAACAUGGAUUUCGUGGUCCGCAAGGUCUUCACGAAGCCGGCGGUCCCCGUGCCGCCGCCUGCCCGCUCCGGCUUGGUGGUCCGGCGGGUAGGAGGCAGCGUUCCGUCGCGCCAAGCCCGACCAACCCGGGCGGCGUUCGUCAAGGCCCGAGGUGGCGCUCAACCGAUACUGCCGUGUGCCUGCCGUGGCGAGACGCUCCGGCCAGGAGGAAACCCCCUUCCGCCGCGCUCGGACCGACCACCUAAGGUCAUCGCGAAGCCGGUGCUCCCCGCGGCGCCUCUGAUCCUUGCACCGCCUGCCCACUCCAACGAGGACGCCGGCAACCGCAACGACAAUGCAAUGUCGUGGACGCGCGUCGGCGGGGAGUGCAACUACAACUACAAGGUACCCAGCGGCCGCCAGAUCAUCGUCGAGUACCUCGGCCCCAAGGCAACCACUGGCAAGAUCGCCGACCGCGCCGCCCCGGGCUUCGUCGCGGAGGGCGUGGACAUCUUUGCGGCGAGCCCGGACGCGCUCCCCUUCCCGCCCGGCCACAGGAAGCAGGACGGGGAGGCGUGGGGCUACUUCUUCGCGGCGAAGCCUGCCAGCAGCAUGCGGCGGGCGCCCGGCGGGUGGUGGAUGCAGUACGGCGACGCGAAGGGGUACGAGUUCCGCGGGGAGGUGUACGCCCGCCACCGCAGGUUCGAGUUCCGCGCGGCGCGGGCGGACGACGGAGGCGGCAAGGUGACGUGGGAGCAGACGCGGUGGCUGAUGAAGGAGUACGCGCUCCACAAGGGCGCGGACGCCUUCCGCGGCGCGACGACCGGCCCGGCCGGUGCCAACAUGGACCUCGUGGUCUACAAGGUGUUCACGAAGCCGGUGGUCACUCCACCGCCGCCACCUGCACUCUCGAGCGAGGCGGAGAACCAGGCGAGGAAGGGCGCUGGAUCUAGUUCAGACUCGGAUGCGCCCAGGAUUGUUUUCGACAUUGAUCUGAACAACUAA
rnacentral:rRNA from 1 species